GGUUAAGCGACUAAGCGUACACGGUGGAUGCCCUGGCAGUCAGAGGCGAUGAAGGACGUGCUAAUCUGCGAUAAGCGUCGGUAAGGUGAUAUGAACCGUUAUAACCGGCGAUUUCCGAAUGGGGAAACCCAGUGUGAUUCGUCACACUAUCAUUAACUGAAUCCAUAGGUUAAUGAGGCGAACCGGGGGAACUGAAACAUCUAAGUACCCCGAGGAAAAGAAAUCAACCGAGAUUCCCCCAGUAGCGGCGAGCGAACGGGGAGCAGCCCAGAGCCUGAAUCAGUGUGUGUGUUAGUGGAAGCGUCUGGAAAGGCGCGCGAUACAGGGUGACAGCCCCGUACACAAAAAUGCACAUGCUGUGAGCUCGAUGAGUAGGGCGGGACACGUGGUAUCCUGUCUGAAUAUGGGGGGACCAUCCUCCAAGGCUAAAUACUCCUGACUGACCGAUAGUGAACCAGUACCGUGAGGGAAAGGCGAAAAGAA
rnacentral:rRNA from 1 species